AAGUCGUAACAAGGUUUCCGUAGGUGAACCUGCGGAAGGAUCAUUAUUGAAUUGUGAAUGGGGCUUGAUGCUGGCUUGUCCAUCCUUUGGCUGCAUGUGCUCGCCCCAGCAAUCCUUUUCCAAACACCUGUGCACCUUCCUUGUGAGAAUGGGAGAGAAAGGGCUUGCCUCUUUUAUCUCGUCUCAUUGAUUACAUAACGCUUGUUUGAUAAUGUUAGAAUUGCAUUUAUGCCAGGUCUAAACGGCAUUUAACCUAAUUAC
rnacentral:misc_RNA from 1 species